GAUGAACGCUGGCGGCGUGCCUAAUACAUGCAAGUCGAGCGAACGGACGAGAAGCUUGCUUCUCUGAUGUUAGCGGCGGACGGGUGAGUAACACGUGGAUAACCUACCUAUAAGACUGGGAUAACUUCGGGAAACCGGAGCUAAUACCGGAUAAUAUUUUGAACCGCAUGGUUCAAAAGUGAAAGACGGUCUUGCUGUCACUUAUAGAUGGAUCCGCGCUGCAUUAGCUAGUUGGUAAGGUAACGGCUUACCAAGGCAACUAUGCAUAGCCGACCUGAGAGGGUGAUCGCCCACACUGGAACUGAGCCACGGUCCUGACUCCUACGGGAGGCAGCAGUAGGGAAUCUUCCGCAAUGGGCGAAAGCCUGACGGAGCAACGCCGCGUGAGUGAUGAAGGUCUUCGGAUCGUAAUACUCUGUUAUUAGGGAAGAACAUAUGUGUAAGUAACUGUGCACAUCUUGACGGUACCUAAUCAGAAAGCCCCGGCUAACUACGUG
rnacentral:rRNA from 1 species